rnacentral:rRNA from 1 species
AGUGAACGCUGGCGGUAGGCCUAACGCAUGCAAGUCGAACGGCAGCACAGUAAGAGCUUGCUCUUACGGGUGGCGAGUGGCGGACGGGUGAGGAAUACAUCGGAAUCUACUUUUUCGUGGGGGAUAACGUAGGGAAACUUACGCUAAUACCGCAUACGACCUACGGGUGAAAGCAGGGGAUCUUCGGACCUUGCGCGAUUAAAUGAGCCGAUGUCGGAUUAGCUAGUUGGCGGGGUAAAGGCCCACCAAGGCGACGAUCCGUAGCUGGUCUGAGAGGAUGAUCAGCCACACUGGAACUGAGACACGGUCCAGACUCCUACGGGAGGCAGCAGUGGGGAAUAUUGGACAAUGGGCGCAAGCCUGAUCCAGCCAUACCGCGUGGGUGAAGAAGGCCUUCGGGUUGUAAAGCCCUUUUGUUGGGAAAGAAAAGCAGCAGGUUAAUACCCCGCUGUUCUGACGGUACCCAAAGAAUAAGCACCGGCUAACUUCGUG